AGCAGCCGCGGUAAUUCCAGCUCCAAUAGCGUAUAUUAAAGUUGUUGCAGUUAAAAAGCUCGUAGUUGAAUUUCGGGAUCAAUAUGUUGGUCGUGCCUUGGUACGUACUGGCGUCAUUGGUUUCUACCUUCUGAAGAACCUCGAUGUCAUUAAUUUGGUGUCUUGGGGAAUCAGGACUGUUACUUUGAAAAAAUUAGAGUGUUUAAAGCAGGCUCACGCUUGAAUACAUUAGCAUGGAAUAAUGAAAUAGGACGUUUGAUUCUAUUUUGUUGGUUUCUAGGAUCGACGUAAUGAUUAAUAGGGAUAGUUGGGGGCAUUAGUAUUCAAUUGUCAGAGGUGAAAUUCUUGGAUUUAUUGAAGACUAACUACUGCGAAAGCAUUUGCCAAGGAUGUUUUCAUUAAUCAAGAACGAAAGUUAGGGGAUCGAAGACGAUCAGAUACCGUCGUAGUCUUAACCAUAAACUAUGCCGACUAGGGAUCGGAUGAUGU
rnacentral:rRNA from 1 species